rnacentral:lncRNA from 1 species
UCAGGCAUCCCUGUUACCGGCAGCAAGAUGAAGAUUUCCUUUUGUCACAGCCUUUAUUUCCACAAUGAAGUGAUCAGUAAGUAGUACUGCAUUGGCAUCCUCGGGUACAGGGUAUCUCAUUCCACUGCAGUCCAGUUGUUCUGGGAUCAUGAAGGUCAAGCCUCCAGCUGCAGGCAGUACACCUCCUACCUGAGCUUUUUCACCUGUUUGGCUGAACAUGACUGCCCGGGUUUUGGUAGGAUUGCUGAGAUGAAGUCUCGAUCUGUCAUCCAGGCUGAAGUUAAGUGGCAAAAUCUCGUCUCACUGCAACAUCUGCCUCCCAGCUUCAAACGAUUCCCCUGCC